rnacentral:ncRNA from 1 species
CCGUUCUCAACGGGGUGCAUUAUUUUAUUAAGAAUAUUGAUAGAGUAAGGCUGAGAUAAUACCCGUCGAACCUGAACUGAUUAGUCGCAGCGGAGGGAUUUGAGAAGCACGUUACU